rnacentral:tRNA from 1 species
GGUCAGAUGGCCGAGUGGUCCAAGGCGCCAGUUUAAGGCACUGGUCUCUUCGGAGGCGUGGGUUCGAGUCCCACUCUGAUCA